GACGAACCGUGCAAACGUUGUUCGGAAUCACUGGGCUUAAAGGGCGCGUAGGCGGGUGAUCAAGUCAGGGGUGAAAUCCUCCAGCUCAACUGGAGAACAGCUUCUGAUACUGGUUGUCUUGAGGGGGGUAGGGGCAUGUGGAACUUCCGGUGGAGCGGUGAAAUGCGUAGAUAUCGGAAGGAACGCCGGUGGCGAAAGCGACGUGCUGGACCCUUUCUGACGCUGAGGCGCGAAAGCCAGGGGAGCAAACGGG
rnacentral:rRNA from 1 species